CUUAUAAGGCAGCAGCACAUGGUGAAGUUUUCUGUGCCUGUCUCUGCUCCAGCUCUGCUUCUCUUGCAGUCAGCUGGAGCUUCAAAGGCUACAGUAUCUGCUCUUCAAAGGCAGUAUAGGCUCUUUGGAAAUCUGGCCCCACCCCCUCAGCCUUGCAAGGGGAGAGGUUGAGGCCUUACUUGAAGUUACUGCCUAUCUGGCGAUCCUGCUGGGCUGGCUACUGCUCGUGCAUUGUUGAAGUACGGUCUUUCUCCACAAUGGGGACAAAAGCAGGAAGCAAGCAACCUCAGCAAGUCCCUCAAAUAUGUAGCUUGGAGCAUGCAUGCACCUGAGGAAGCUAUUUGGGGAAACGGGGUCUUACUGGCUUACCAUCACGCAAAACUUCCAUUCAAGGGACUUUGGACUCUUUUGGACUUUGGAUUGAGCAUAAAGCUCCACGGAGCCAUCAGAAUUUUAUAAUUUUGAGUCCUCAAGAGUCUAUUGGAAAUGGAGUGGACACUCUUCAUGAUCUGCUUAAAGUGCUUUUGAAUGAGUCAGCAUGUGCAAUUAAAUGUGUCUAUGAAUUUA